GACGAACGCUGGCGGCGUGCUUAACACAUGCAAGUCGAACGAAGUGGCGAACGGGUGAGUAAUACGUGGGUAACCUGCCCUCCUUUUUGGGAUAAGCCUUGGAAACGGGGUCUAAUACCGAAUCAAGGGGGAUGGGCUCGCGGCCUGUCAGCGUGUUGGUGGGGUGAUGGCCUACCAAGGCGGUGACGGGUAGCCGGGCUGAGAGGUUGAACGGGAACAUUGGGACUGGGAAGCCGCCCAGGCGCGUACGGGGUGGAGCAUUGGGGGCUAUUGGACAAAGGGCGAAAGCCUUAUGCAGCGACGGCGCGUGGGGGAUGAAGGCUUUCGGGUUGUAAAACUCUUUCGCUAUCGGACGGUUAGGUGGAGAAGAAGCGCCGGCUAACUACGUGCCAGCCGCCGCGGUAAUUC
rnacentral:rRNA from 1 species